AUCAAUUAGUAAUCUUCAUUAGUAGCAAAAUUAAUAGCAAAAACGAACAGUAGGAAAUGUAGUAUGUGCUAGGCAGCCAUAAAAACGUCAAAACAACUGCAGACAUCUAAAUCCUUUAAGGAGACAUUGUUGAUGAAUUGAAACCAAAUGGAAAGGAGAUUCAGAUGAAUGUAAUGACGAAUCGCCGAAUCAAAGCCUGAAAUAUUCAUUCAUUUAAGGUAAACUGUGUCUAUUGACAGAUAAGCGCAAUCCGAGGAAAGCCUCCAAAUCGGACAGUAUUUAAGUGGAGUUUGGUGAGAACGCUGGCCUCCUUUCGCCCUUCACUCGCCCCGUUGUGGUUGUCAUGGCAACACGGGGAGCCCUGGGCUGGAACCUCAUUGAUUUCUGCGGCAGUGAUCUCGAUUUCACAAUCCAAGAGGAGGAAGUCAGGCUGCUGCUGUUAACAUCCAAACUGUAAAGAGUUUUAUCUGCUCCCGCAGUGACACCGCAAAAAAA